rnacentral:misc_RNA from 1 species
GAUGAAGAACGUAGCGAAAUGCGAUACUUGGUGUGAAUUGCAGAAUCCCGUGAACCAUCGAGUCUUUGAACGCAAGUUGCGCCCGAAGCCAUUAGGCCGAGGGCACGCCUGCCUGGGCGUCACACGUCGUUGCCCCCCCCAUCUACUCCUUCGGGAUUGCGGGGGGCGGAUGAUGGCCUCCCGUGCGCCUCGCCGCGCGGUUGGCAUAAAUGCCAAGUCCUCGGCGACGCACGCCACGACAAUCGGUGGUUGCGAAACCUCGGUUGCCCGUCGUGUGCGGUCGUCGCGCAUCGAGGGCUCGAAAAAAUUGCCGGGCUUCGGCUCGACUUUCAACGCGACCCCAGGUCAGGCGGGGUUACCCGCUGAAUUUAAGCAUAUCAAUAAGCGGAGGA